AUAAUAAAUAUCUAAAAGACAAAACUAUUGCUUCCAAGACAAUCCUUAUUUUAUAUUGUAUUCUCAAUUAUUUAUAUAUGUUAAAUAGAGGAUCUCUUUCUAACUUUAUACAAUUCUGGCUAAGAUAUCUGUAUGGUUAGUCCUACUAAGUUCUAUGCUUUAAGACAUUAUAGUGGUAAACAAGGGAACCACACAGUAUUAUACACUGAUAGGAGCCAUACAGUCUAU